UACGUAUGGACCGAGCGUUAUCCGGAAUCAUUGGGCGUAAAGGGUACGUAGGCGGUUAAAUAAGUUAGAAGUGAAAUCCCAUAGCUCAACUAUAGUAAGCUUCUAAAACUGUAUAACUUGAGAAAUGAAAGGGAAAGUGGAAUUCCUAGUGUAGCGGUGAAAUGCGCAGAUAUUAGGAGGAAUACCGGUGGCGAAGGCGACUUUCUGGUCAUAUUCUGACGCUGAGGUACGAAAGCGUGGGUAGCAAACAGG
rnacentral:rRNA from 2 species